GCUUGAGUGGCUUUGUCGGUUGGGCAUCUGACUUUGGCUCAGGUUAUGAUCUCACCGUUUGUGGGUUCAAACCCCAUGUUGGGCU
rnacentral:tRNA from 1 species